rnacentral:rRNA from 1 species
UACGUAGGGGGCAAGCGUUGUCCGGAUUCAUUGGGCGUAAAGCGCGUGUAGGCGGCCAUCUAAGUCGGGCGUGAAAUCCCACGGCUCAACCGUGGAAGUGCACUCGAAACUGGAUGGCUAGAGUCCUGGAGAGGAAGGUGGAAUGCUUGGUGUAGAGGUGAAAUUCGUAGAUAUCAAGCGGAACACCGGUGGCGAAGGCGGCCUUCUGGGACAGUGACUGACGCUGAGACGCGAAAAGCG